CCAGGUGAGCACUGAGCACAUUCUUCUAUUUUUCCAAUUAAGUAUGAGAGGUCGCCACCGGAAAGCUGCGGCUGGGGCAGUUAGAGGAGGAAGCGGACAGUGUGAAGAAUAAUCCAGGAGGGCAGGCCUCUUGAGAAAUCGAGCAGGACAGCCGGGCGGUUCUAAGCUUUUCGGGGCUGGUGGUGGUGAGUGGUCAGUGGUGCCCUUCUGCCUGGGUGUGCGUUGGGCAUCAGCAGCUCCCGGCUGCAGGAGGACAGGACCGGAGGGACCCAACCCUGACCAUCGUGUAGACAAUGUAGCAUUUGUAAACAAGGGGAAGCUGAAAAUACAAAAGGCAGCGAGGGUAGCACUAGCCGCCUCACAGACCCAUGGUGAGGACAGAAUGCCACAGCGCACGGAACGGAUCAGGAGCGUGCCGGGGCGAAACAUAAACCCGUGCCUGCCCUUCCUUUCCCUUCCCGUCCCAUCAUUCCCCGUGAGCACGGAAGCUGAGAUUCCUGGGUGGAAAUGGAGCCGUCCCAUCCCCCACCGUCCAGAGGGCAACUGUCCAGUAGCAGUGGGGGAAACUAACAGCAUCCCAACCUGCUCCCCAGAGCCCAUCCCACCCCAUCCUCCUUGCCCAUUGCAGAAAUUGGUGUGGGCACCACCGGCUUCGGAAUCUUCUUCAUCCUCUUUGGAAUACUCCUGUACUUUGAUUCGGUGCUCCUGGCCUUCGGAAACGUGAGUCCCCAAGCCUGUGUACCCUCUGCCACCAACCUACCUGAGGUCUCAAUUGCCAGGAAGAUGGGCCCCAAGUUCAUUCAGAUUGUGCCCAUCCAGGGGUCUGCACCAUCAAGCCUGGGCCGGUGGGGGUGGCCGGGGGUGGGCAGCGAGGCCUGCUGGGCGCGGAGAAUCCGAGGAUGUGGAUUCUCAUGCCAAAGCUCUGGGUGAGGCCCUGCAGGUACCAAGAUGAAUGGGCUGCUGUCCCUGCCAGUGGAACGCCCCUGUCUAGGGAUAGGGACAUAACGUGAAUGUCCGUGACUGGGAAGGAAGGCAGGGGCAGCCAUAAAGUCGCAAUAAGAUAAGUACACUUAAUCUAGAACAAGAUGGCUGGAGGAAGAAAGCCUAUCCAGCUGGAGAGGGACGAAAAGGAAUUUGGAAAGGCAAUGGGUGUGGAGGCAGAAGGAACAGCAAGAGAAAAGGUAUGAGGAAGGGGAGGAAAGGCAUGGAACAUGCUGGAAGAAAGCCAGAGAGUUAAAUCUGAUGGACACCUGGGCACUCCUAAGGGACCAUUAGGAGCCAAGCUGAAGAUAGUGACGGGGCCAGACAGUGGAGCCCUGAUGUCUGGCUAUGGCUAGGUAUGGCUGCCUCAGUGUUCACCUCCGUAAAAUGGAGAGACUCUGUCUAUGCCGUCUUCCCCGGGAAGUGUUGGUGUGACAAGAAAUAAAGUCAUAUAUGAAAAAGUGAUUGGGAGCCAAGAAGUUGGGUUGAAUUGGGUGAACGGAUGGAGACCUUCAAAGUCCUCCUUGUCCAUCCUCCUGUCUCGGGGAGGUUCUGCUCCUAACAGAACUCUUCCUGAAGAGGCAGCAAGUCCUGCCCUAGGCCUGGCCCCUGACUCCCCGUUGGUGGAGGGCCGGGGGGGUGUUGGUGUGUUGGUUCUCAUGCUUCUCUCCCUCCCUCCCCCGCAGCUGCUAUUCCUGACUGGCCUCUUGCUCAUCAUCGGCCUGAGGAAGACCUUUUCCUUCUUCUUCCAGAGGCACAAGCUCAAAGGGACCAGCUUCUUCCUGGGGGGUGUGGCCAUUGUGCUCCUGCGCUGGCCCCUCCUGGGCAUGUUCCUGGAAACCUAUGGAUUCCUUAGCCUCUUCAAGUGAGUGCGGGUCUCUUUCCCCUGGAUGAGCCCACCAGGGCCUCUGAGCAGCUGAGAUCACCCCGCCAGGUUUGGCCAGCACGACCGACAGGGUAUGCAGACACAGGGAUGCUAUCCCGCGGAUGGGAGCCACAGAAGGACUGAAAAGCAGAUGGGCAUCAGGCAGACACUUGGAAGUUCCCUCCGACAGUAGGACGAAGGACAAAUUGGAGGGAUUGGCCCAUCCACCUGCAAACAUUGAGCACCUGCUGUGUGCCCGGCCCUAGGCCUGCCCUUAAGGAGGAGACACAGGGCCUGCCUUCAACUUGAAGAAUCCAGCAGGGAGGAGGGGCAGUGAACUAGCAUUUGCCCGGCCCCUCAUAUGCCCCUAGCACGUUCACAGGCGUCACCUCACUUUAUCGUCUUUACAACCCACUGCAGGACUGCUCUCUGCAGUUGAGGAAACCAGAUCUGAGAGGCUGCCCCCCCUCCCCCCACCCGCCGGAGGUCUCACACAAAGUAUGCAGAGGAUCUGGACUUGAUCCAGGCAUCCCUGGCUGCUGGCCUCAUGUCCUUCGGCCUGUCCAGUGUCAGCCUGGCCUGCUGAAAGGUGGGGUGGAAGUCAGCGAAGAUGUGUGGCCACUGCCAAGGCCAGGGAGGUGUCCAGGGCAGGGAGGGCCUGUCCUGAGACAGGCCGUGGGGACAGGCAAGCUUUAAGAGGAGACUGGGGGGUGCUUAAGGAGAAGAAAGGAAAGGAUGUCGGGAAGAAGGUGCCUAUUGUCUCUGGGACACUGGAGGACAGUGGUGGGAUGGAGAAGACGGGCUGGAAGAAGCAUGGCUUAUGCACUCACCGGAAGGAGCCGGGGCCAGGACCCCGACUUCUCAUAAAGCCCUCCGUUUGCCCAGUGCAGCCUUAAAAACACUUUGAUUAGCCUGAAUGCCCCAGACCUCCUAGACAUCAUAUAAUGUGGCUUCGAGAAACUAAAUUUUCUCACACGCGCUCUGCCAUCCACUUGUUUAACAUCCAGACAUGUCACUAUUCAAACAGCCACUUACUCAAAUAGUCAAAAACACAAAAAGUACCUACUGCGUGCCAAAUACAGAGCUAGGUGGGGGGAUGUGGCGCUCAACAGGGAGAAACUUCCCGAGGACCUCGCAACCUAGUCGAGAAGACAAAUUCUGACGACAGUGACCAUUUAUUGAGGGAUUAGAAGGGUGAGUGGGGCCACUGCAGAUUCAGUAGCUCCAACCAAACGUAAACCUUGACAAAGACCCCUUGCAACAGCAUUGGGGGGGGCGAGAAAACCAAAAUCAGAGCUCUAAGGGACGUCAGAGAUGUCAGUGAGCCUCGGGGAAAUGAGGCCCUGGGAGAGGAAAUAGCUCAGCCAACAUUCAAAUGUCUAACCCCCUCGCCUCUCCACACACACAGGGCUCCCCCCCCACGCCAACCUCAGUGUUUCCAAGCCCUUUGAACGAUGGUGCACAUGUGUCCAGCCAGACCUUGCCAGGGUGUGUUUGACAAGAGUGGGGAAGCCAAGGGCAAAGGGUGGCUCCACGCGUGGGCACCACGCCGAGGCACCAGGGAAAACACCCAUGAGCACGGCCGCCAGCAGCUACCCAUGCGGGGGCCCAGGAAAUCUGAAGCAGGCAGCACCCACCCAGUCCAGGGAGGAGAAGACAGUAACAAUGAUACAAACGCUUCUUUUCUUAAAAAAGUUUUUUAAUGGGAGGGAGAGAAUCCCAAGCAGGCCUCGCGCUUUCUCAGCGCAGAGCCCAACAUGGGACUCAAACUCACCGACCGUGAGAUCGCGACCCGCACCGGAUGCUUAAGCAACCGAGCCGCCCAGGUGCCCCCAAACACUUCUUGAACGUUUCUUUGCGGAAGGCCCUAUGGUGUAGAUACUAUUAUUAACCUCAUUUACAGCUGGGAACUGAGAUUCAGAGAAGUUGAGGAAUUUUGCCCCAAGUUUAUACAGCACGAGCAAGUGGCAGAGCCCAGAUUUGAACCCAAGGAGCCUGACCCCAGCCCCUUUAUUCUUAACCACUUCACAUGGUUGCCUCCCCAAACCCAGGGGGUGCAGAACCAAGCCUGCCCCCAGUGCCCAAGGGCCCGCUUUCUGGGGAACCAAAGCUGGAGCCUUUGGGUAGAUCUCGCCCCAGGCCAUCGCUGACCCCUCCCCCCCACCUCUGCUCCUAGGGGCUUUUUUCCUGUCGUCUUUGGCUUCCUGGGCAAUGCCUCUGACAUCCCCUUCCUGAGUGCGGUAAGUAGAUUAUGCAUGUGGCUUGGUGAUGAUGCCUUGGGGUGAGGGGCCCUGGUGAGACUGCUGCCCCAGUGCAAUGGAGCCUUCCCGUCUCCCCUCAAGCCCCUUUCCCCUCAACUCCUCUCCCCAUCCCCACACCUUCUCCAUUUGACAAGAGCAGAUGAGGAGAGGGCACCCGGGAGCAUUGUGCCUAAGGCGUAGGUAUUGAGGCAAGUGGCUAUUCAUAGCUCCUCAUUAGAGCGAAAGAAACAGAUUCAGAGUCUAGGUGACCCAGCCAGAAAGUGCCAGAGAUUUCUGGGGAGCUGGCUGAGUCUGGGCCCCAGGCAUGGAGAGCGUGUGUGACAGCCAGUGACAACAGAAGCUGGUGGCCGAUCCUGUCCUCUCCUGGAGGCACGCAGGGGGCAGCGGUCCCCAGCCCCUGCCCCUCCCUUUCUCUAAAGCAUAUUUUCUGACAGAAUAGGAGCUGAGAAGCUUAGGGAGGCCCUACAGCCAGCUGGCUCAUCCCCGUGGCCCCCUCUCCCGAUCUGUACUCAAGGCCCAGCUCUCAAGGCCCGCUCCACAAUAACCUAGAUAUGGAGUGUGCUGCUCACUCUUUGUCUGAAGUAAUGAUUCUUGGCUCCCACAGCUGUUCCGGAGGCUUCAAGGCACCAGCUCAAUGGUCUGAACAGCAGAGACGAGCUCCUUGAACUUGGAUCAUUGGUUGAGGGGGCUGGAAAGGAAGUGGGGGCUGCCUCCACCCUGCAGUGACUCAUCUCCCCAUCAUCCCCAGCCCUCUCCAAGUCCAGAAGGAAGAACAGAGUUGAAUGACUGACCUCAGAUUCCAAGUCAACUCAAAAGGCUGUUGACAUGGCUGCGGACAGAGAUCCGGGGCCCCACCGCGAUCAGACUGGGGCCGGUAUUACAUCCUGCCCUGUAUUUAUGGGAGGAGAGCGAAGAUUAAAUCCCC
rnacentral:lncRNA from 1 species